UAGUUGUGAAGUCUCCUUUAUCUGUCCAAGUAAGAUAGCAGUAUGAGAGAUAUAUUGUAAAUAUUAUAUGUUAGACAUAAAUAAGCGCCAAGCAUCUGAGAUGAUACCAGUCAACAGCAAAUCGUUAUCGGGAAAAGAGAUAGUUUAGUUCGAUAAUUUUAUCAAUAUUCCGAGUUAAAUUUUAAACUAUAACACUAACGUAAUUCAUUAUGACUACAAAUAAAUUGACUUUAUAAUUAAUCGACGGCACGAAUCAUUUGAUAUUCAUCGGUACAUCUCCUAUUACACAUCUGACAGCAAACAUAGAAUCGGAGAAUGAUAUGUAAAUCCUUUUUCCCGGCAAUGACUGACAGAAUGCAUCAAAAUUGGUUUUUUAUCAAAAGAACUCAGAAAGACCCCACAAUCAUACAUUACUAAAGAGCGGACAUUAAUAAUUGGCGAAGAUCCACAUAGGUUGCGUUUUGUAUAUUUUUCACAUGUUUAUCAUAAUGUCAUGUAUUGUAUGCCGAAAUCCAGAUAUUACUUUGUUAUACUAACGGACAUUUGAGUAGUUCUUGCGGACACAUUAUACGCUGAAGGACAAGUAAGUCCGAAAUUGUACGUUUUAUUUUCAUCGGUCUUUUUCUUCAUCAAUAAGCGAUGUUGAAUUGAAAUUAAAUUCUCAGUGAAUUAAAUCUACCAACCGUUUUUAAUGCUUGUCUUCGACUGUUUUCUACUUAUAUAUAUUAUGCUUAUGCAUCUUACAAGCUGGUGAAUUUUAUUAUUAAUAAAUUAAUCAUAUAUGGUUGAAUUCGGAAAAAAAUAAUCUUUAAUUUAGUAUAAUUAAAAAUUUAAAAAUUAAAAACAACAGUAUAAAUCCCCACUAUUUGUCCUGGCGGCCGGGCGACGACGAUAAUGAGGACUACGACGUUUCUUAAUCAGAUUUACUCUUAAGCGAAAAACUUUAUUCGUGAGAUCUCCGCUUGCAAGUCAUGUAGCAGAAAAAUACAAACACUUUUAUUAUAUAAAUCGGAUGCAAGCUAUCCAUUAAGUUUAUUGAGAAAUCCACCGAUUCAUUUAGAAUCUGAUAGAAGAAAAGCAAAAAAUGUUAUCAUA